AAAGCUUUAAGUUAAAAAAACUAUUAACCUUCAAAGUUAAAUAUACAAUUAAAAGUAAGCUUUA
rnacentral:tRNA from 1 species